AUACGUAGGUGGCAAGCGUUGUCCGGAAUUAUUGGGCGUAAAGGGUGCGUAGGCGGUCUUUUAAGUGGGAUGUGAAAUACCUAGGCUUAACUUAGGAAUGGCAUUCCAAACUGGAAGACUAGAGUGCAGGAGAGGAAAGUGGAAUUCCCAGUGUAGCGGUGAAAUGCGUAGAGAUUGGGAGGAACACCAGUGGCGAAGGCGACUUUCUGGACUGUAACUGACGCUGAGGCACGAAAGCGUGGGGAGCAAACAGGAUUAGAUACCCUGGUAGUCCACGCUGUAAACUAUGAGUACUAGGUGUGGGGGGCGAAGCCCUCUGUGCCGCAGUUAACACAAUAAGUACUCCGCCUGGGAAGUACGAUCGCAAGAUUAAA
rnacentral:rRNA from 1 species